AACUUCUGCUGAUCUUUAAAUGUAUUAGUGGAACAGAAUGCAGGUUUUAAAAAGAUAGUACAGAAGUUAUUUUCCUGCAAUUGACUGCAUAGUACACGGUGGAAUCCUGCAAACAUUGAUAUAUACGAAUAGUUCUAACUGAAAAUGCUGGAAGCCUUGGAACAAAGGCCAGUCUUCUCAUAGGCAGAAAAGUGUUUUAUGCUUGAAUUUUCUGGCACCAGUUCCUGUGGCUUUAAAGAAAAGUGCCACUGUGAGAGAAGUCUGGAAAACCUUAGAAGUGGACCGGUGCAGGAAAUAUCGAGAUGGGCUGAGCCAUGACCAGGAGCCAUCUAGGUGCAGGAUGCCUAGAGACGAAUGAUAGGGAAAAAGGUCUCUGUGACAUCGGUCCCUACUGGCACUGACUAUACAAGUGGAGAGAUACCUAGACAGAAGAAGGGAGCAUGCUAUAUUCCAUCUGUUCUCAAGCAGUCCUGGGCUGUGAGCCACCCGAGCCUGGCAUUGUGUCAUUGGACUUUCAUAACAGCAAGAUUUCUAGUUAUGUACUAGACUGCCAAGAGGAAAUAAGAAAUUAAGUAUGGAACAAGGAAAAUGGUCCAGAACGUGCAUACAUGAAGCCUGAACUGGUUCAUUAUACAAAAAAAGCGUAUGGUCAAACAAACUGCCUGCCAAGCACACCGUGAGGCCUGACACGCUGCAAGAGGCGAUGCCCCAAGUUCAAACAGAACAGGAAAGGUGGAUAUGGAGCAUGGAGGGUCAGGAGGAUGUGUAUAUGAGCACUGAGCCAGCUGGAUGCUGCGCAAAGCAGCUGCUCCUUGCCUGACCUUUGCCACUGAGUUCUUCCAGAAUGACACCAUAUUUUAAUGUAUUUUUUUUCCACCUCAGCUGUAAAUGUUGUUUACGUUAUCUUAAGAGCCGUGUGACCAGUGGGGUUCAUGCUGAAGUAAACCUGCUGAAAUCAAAGCCCCCGGCCAUCAGGUGGAGAUGGGUCCCUUGUGGACAGUGCUGGAGGAAUCUGACUCUUGAGCUGUAGGUGUCCUGGUGUGGGGCUGCGUGAUGUUCAGACAGCUGGAGCAUGAACUGAAGUGUAGCAGCCAGCAGACCAUAGUUUAACCAGUUGCAGUGGCCCCCAGUAGAGAGGCAACGUACGCUCACUUUCUCUCUUGUGAUCUUUAGUGUCACAACAGAGACAUCAGUGACAGGCUUCUCAACCUAGCUGCCCUAGAUCUCCAGGAGAGAGACAUCUUUGUGAAUCCCUCACCAUAGUAUAAAAAAUCAACAUUUUUGUACCCUGUGAAGACACAGUUGUGCCAAAAAUAUUAAAUGGACCAGAGAAGCCAGAGCAGGCACCAGACAGCCUGCAGGGGUUUUUGACCACUUCUAAAUAGAUUGUUCCAAGAUUGAGAAGAAAGUACAAUAAACUGCUAAUCCAUGCUAUGAAUUUGCGGAAGCCUAAAAUACUUCCUGUGAAAACCAGGGCUUUCAUUGAAGAUGUUGCUGUGCACUCAGGAAUCACUUUUGUUAACUGAAGCGCUCAUAACUCAGCCACCUGUUAGCUGCAAUCACUGCUUAACUUAACCUAAGACCUGCAAUUUACAGAGCAAAGGAAAGGACAAUAUGAAUGAAUGAGAGCAGAGAUUAAAUGAACAUAACUGUUGUCACUGAAUGGAGCUGCUAGAAAAUGCAUGACUGCCAGAAAACUUCCUGCUUCCAGAAGGGAAAGGACAGGCAUUUCGACAGUCAGUUUCUGGCCGUUGGUCUCAGCUUUGGGGAUGUUCAUCUGCAUGGCCCAGUGGAGAGUUCACUUCCUACACACAAGAACAUUUUUUGCCUAAGCUGUUACCUCGUAUUCCCAAGAAUUUAGAUGUCACCAGGAUGCGGCAGGUUUCCUGGUGCUUUCCUGUGACAAAUGAUGAUUUUUGGGACUCCUUCUGGGAUAAUGAUCAGGGCCCUUUGAACUGUAACGGGUGGACUGUGAUCCAGAUCAUGUCUUCUGAUCUGUGUUUGCCAGAUGUGACCUUAGAUUUGGGAAGAGCCCAUUAAUUUCUGGAACAAUUACAAACUAUAAAUGGACUGUCUCUACAGGGCUUUGCAUGUAUCACCAUAAUGAAAGAAAUAGAUUGAAGGAAAAAAUGUUAGCAUUGAGAUCUGCUGUAGCUGGAAUUUAUCAGUAUUACCUUUUUCUUGAAGUCUAGUAAUUAAACUUAUCAUUACAUAUUGCCUCCCAUCAAUUAAUUAGCUAAGUAAUUUUGUCAGUCAGCAAGCCUUAAAUUGCAUCACUGAGUUUUUAUGAAACACUUUUAUCACUGAUUGCAUAUUUGGGAAAAGACGUCUGGUUUAAUGAUUCCUGAGGCACAUAUUCUGAAUGACAAAUAAAUAAAUGAGCUCAACUUCUUUCAACACACAGAACUGAAAUACCAUUAAAGAAUCAAAGCCCUGGCUAUCCUUUUCCUUUUAGGAUCUGUUUUUGUGUUCCUUUAAGGUGAGAUGUUCUCAAAUACUUCUGCUAAUAAGAGCUUUUCUGCUGAGGCUGAAGCUUUUUAUUAGUUACAGUAGUAACUGAUAUUGAGAAACAUGAACAGAAAUAACUUGAAAACUUUUAAAACUACUUCAACAUUGGUUCUAAAUUUAAUUUUAAAAUAUUAUUUUUUCCUGGAUAUUUAUUUUACAUAUACAGAAUACAUAUCAAUGAGAAACCAAUCAUAUGUAGGGAGAAUCUCUGUGUAGGAAAAACAUUGUUUACUGCAUGGAUGUACAACUAAUGAAGAAUUAAAUCAGAUUUGUGAUUUUUGCUACAAAUAUACUUGAGAUUUGGAUUAGGUUUUAGAAACUCUGUGUUUCAUCAAAAACUAUAAACAAGUGUUUUAUUUAGGAAUGAACAGUGAUAGAAUUUCAUUCUUAUUUUUUCUUUUCCCCAAAGAUACCCUCUUUUAUUACUGCUUCAUCAGUCAAUGAAUGGGAAGUUGCCAGAAUAAAUAGUGCAGUAUUAUGCUUUUAUAUGAAAAUAGCCAGAAAAUUAAAAAAAGAAAUCAGAACAAAUUUCUGAAAGAAAAAUCCAUCAAUGACUGUGAAGUGUCAAGUGACUGAAAGCAUCAUUUUCAGCUCGUGCCACAUCUACUUUUUGCUGGGAAAUUGCUCAUGGCAAUUGCUGGAGAGAAGAUGCUUUACUGAACUGAUGGGUUUUGAUCUUAGUUGGUGGAGGUGCUUCUUAUAGCUAUGGUAAUGACAAUUGGUUCGUAAGAUUUCAGGGAGGCCAGACCUGGUUCAACACUGUUAAUCUAAUCAAGACAUUAGACAUCUUUUUUAAGGACAGUGCUGUGCUUCUUCCAUACCUCUUUUCUCCUACUGUCUUUCCACUGCCAUUUGCAUUAUCACUCAUUGCUGAGUAGAAGUAGGAAAGUGAAAGUAUAUUCCCUUCAUCGGUGAUGACAGUCAGUACAUUUACUUUUCUAAAGUGUGUUAACUAGAUGUUUAGGUCUGCAGAAUCUAUAUAUAGGGAUCACAAAAUAGUAUAAAACUGGGGAAAGCACUCCUGAGCAGAAUCUUUGGAUGAGAUUUCAGUUCUCUGAUUUAGAAAAAGGAAAAAAGCAGAAAUGAGUUCUUCAAUAUGCUGGCUAGAAAGCAGUUGCAGUAACAGUAGGGGCAGCUCACCAGUCUACAGGCAGCCAUAGAGUAGGAAGCCUUCUUUUCAUUAUUUAUGCUGUCUCCAUUCUCAGCUUUUUACUCCCUCUAGUUAAUGAGAGAUAUAUCUCAAAUACACAAGGGAAAUAAAUACAAGGACAGUGAUAGAAAUAACAGACAGUUCUUGAUAGCAGUGGAGCACUGAAGAUACAGCAGUGUGUUUGAUUUAUUGUGGUUUCUUGUAUUAAAUGCAUGAAGAUAAUGCUCUUCGAUUUUUAAAUGAAGAAAUAUUGGAAAAAAAAAACCCUUGUUAUUGUUGAAUGGAAAAUAACAAGCAGCAAGACAUUUUACCAUAUGCGGUAUUAUCCCCACAUUUUAACAUCCUAGGUGUUGGAGUAAUGAACGUGAUUACAUCAUUCUUCAUUUUUCGUACUACUCUGGCUUUUAUAAACAUUUUGAUUUUGUGAAGAAACAGUUUCCUCUUUUUUCAGUGAUAAGGGUGCUUCCUUUUUUUUUUUUUUUGAAAGACUGAAAAAUGCUAUAAAAGAGCACAGUUAGUUUUGUCCUCAGUCUACAUCCCAAAUCUGUCAUAAACAACUACUGGUGUUUAUUGUGCACAAGAAAUUCAAGGCAGAGACCUAAUUUAUAUGCCCCAUGCUACCCAUCAGGUGAUAUAAAUGAUCAUACCUCAUUGAUUUGAAGGAGGUGUCAGCAACAAUGAGGGGGAGCGUUUGUGUCGGCAAGAUCAUUGUUAUGGAUAUGGCAAAUGGACAGAAAAAGGUUGAAAGGGGCAAGAUGACCAAUAGGUUAAUAGUCAACAAGUAAUUUAUUUUCUCGUUUUAUUUGUCAAUUAUCCGCUAGUCCCAAAUUUAUUGUUGAGCAUUGCUUUAUAACAUACAAUUUUUCCUACAUUCAGUUUAGCCUUGUUAAGUUACCUUUUGUCCUCAUUACUGGCAAGCUAAAUAAACAUCUUUCUUCUUCUGGUGUGACAGGUGAUGAGUUAAUACGCAAUCAAAGCAGAAUUCAGUAUGUUUGAACUACUUUUUUUUUCUUUAGAUUUCCAAUAAAAUAUCAUAUGAGAAAUGCAGUCCUGCUACCUCUCAGCUAUUUUCAUCUGUGUCACAGCAGAAAUCAAUGUUUUUGUACAUUGGCUGUCCACUGAACCCCUUGAGUUUUCUGAUUUGUUUUGGAAUAUAUUGUACUGCUUUCACCACUGUUUGUUGACUUCUGACUCUUCUAAGGGACUGAUUUUACAAGACCCUGCGUGCCACUUCUCACUAUCUCCAAAUGUUACUAUGGCACAAUGACAUGGGCUUGAAUCAGUAAUUUAACUUAAAGCUGCUUUUUCCUGGGCUUCUUUCCAAGACUACCUAUUCUUGUGGGGGUAACCAAAUCAGAGCUACUCUAUGGAUGUAUGUCUGUGUUAAUAUGGAAUUGGUAUGCUUAUAUUAUGUGGUUAGGCACGGUACAAGUGAGUGUGUUACCAUUAUCUCAAAUACAAUGAUCUUUUCAAACAGUAUUUUCAGAGUUUAUUACUAUUAUCUGUUAACUAUUCAACGUAAUUCAAAAACGUCUGAAUGAGCAUAGCUUAGGCACUCAAACUGCAUUAACAGUACCCAACAGUGACUCUGUACGCUAGCCAUAUGGCUCUAAUUUGGGCAUCUUCACAAUUUUGUUUGCACACUAGAGGAAAGGAAAUGGAUACAUCUUGGAUGAUAAUAUAAUCUCACUCUUGACUGUGCCACCAUAUGCCACAAUUAAGGAUAUACACGUCCUAACUAUGUACUUCUACUUUUAAUAUCUGUGGAUUUCUCUUCGGUAUGAGCUCAAAUCCAGCUUCUAAUGUUUCAAUUGGGAAUAAUUGUAACAGUUAGGUAAGGCACUUUAUGGUGCAUUGACAGUGCAGUUCCAAGCCAGACUCUCCAUCAUCAGCUUGCUUUUGCCAACAAGUUCUCUUGAUUUGACUUUGUUUAGUGUCAGGCAUUUAAAAAAGAAAACUAAGCAAGUUUUAGCAUGUGAUAUUACCAGAUGAUAGCUGUUUUUUCUUUUCUUUUGACUUUUCUGGUCAUAUUCAUCAAUUUAUUCUGGCUGCUUUAUUUAGUUUAGAGAAGCAUAAAAGCUCUGGCUCGUAUGUUUUAUUUAAAAUGGGUUUAUUAAAGAUUGAGAUAUCCAGAUCAGUGUUAUGAACCUCAAUUUUUUAAUCUCCAUUUCCCUAUUUUUUUGUCUUUGCAUUCCAUUGUAUUCUUUCUAUCAUUUCAUGUUUCCCUGCUCCUUCACUACUAGACAAGCUGUGCUUCAUGUAUUCCCUGCAGCUCGUGUUCCCUUCAUCCACAUCUAUACUAUUUUCAAUGCUAGUCUUGUUUUCUCACCUCUACAGUUUUAUUUCCUGUCUUCACUGCUGAAAUGUAAACAAAUAACUUCUGAAAAUAAAUACUUUGGACUAAUACAUGUGUUUGCACUUCUAUUGUGAGGUUACAAUACAGUCUGUUUGAUGGGAGAAGUGUACAGAGAGAAGUCAGCUUUACAGAAUUCUUUUUGUUCAACAUGGCUACUAAUUUCUGUUCUAAGGUAACUGGCUACACUAAGCUGCUCAUGCUCUUUAUAAACUAAAUAACAGUGAGAAUUAAGACACAGUUCUCAUUAAAAACUUUAUUAGUUACAGUGUAUGCAUUUAAAUAAACACGUGACUAAGAAUAAUGAUAGCUACUUCUGAAAGGUCUUCCAUGCAUUGCUGAGGUCCUUCAGACAAAGACAAGACUGAUAUCUUUGAAGGACAUGAGUUCUUGUCACUUUUAAUCUCUGUAUUUUAUAGAAGAUAUGUACUGUUUCAACAUACUGUUGUGUGCUAACCAAAGGUAGAUUUUUAGAAUGUUUUUCAAACCAAAGCUUUUGAUAGAAAUCUCCUAAUUAUUUUACACAUUGUUAAUAGAGUACUGUCUUUCUACUUGAUAAGAAAGGGAUGAGUGGCAGUUUAAUAAAUAAAUGCAGUUUUGAUUUUCA